ACGGGGUGCAGCAGGCGCGAAAACUUGACAAUGGGGGAAACCCCGAUCAGGGGAGUCCAAGUGCUUGCACUUUGUGUAAGCUGUUCGGUUGUCUAAAAAACAGCCGACGGAAGGGCUGGGUAAGACAGGUGCCAGCCGCCGCGGUAAUACCUGCAGCCCGAGUGGUGAUCGAUUUUAUUGAGCCUAAAGCGUCCGUAGCCGGACUAGUAAACCCUUGGGUAAAUUGGGCAGCUUAACUGUCCAAAUUCCGAGGGGACUGCUAGUCUUGGGACCGGGAGAGGUCAGAGGUACUCCAGGGGUAGGGGCUAAAUCCGAUAUGGUUUUGUGCCAUUCGGUUAGCAUUCCUGUAAUCCUUGGGGGACCACCAGUGGCGAAGGCGUCUGACUAGAACGGAUCCGACGGUAAGGGACGAAACCCUGGGGCGCGAACCGGAUUAGAUACCCGGGUAGUCCAGGGCGUAAACGCUGCAGGCUUGGUGUUGGGGACCCUACGAGGGUGCCCAGUGCCGGAGUGAAGAUGUUAAGCCUGCCGCUUGGGGAGUACGUCCGCAAGGAUGAAACUUAAAGGAAUUGGCGGGAGAGCACAGCAACGGGAGGAGCGUGCGGUUCAAUUGGAUUCAACGCCGGAAAACUCACCGGGAGCGACGAUUACAUGAAGGUCAGGCUGAUGACUUUACCUGAUUUUUCGAGAGGUGGUGCAUGGCCGUCGUCAGUUCGUACCGUA
rnacentral:rRNA from 1 species